AAUUGAAAAAAUGUAUUCCAUCUAGUAAAGUUGUAAAUGUCUCUAUUUUCUCUUCUUGUAUUCCAAUAAGAUCCUGAAUGGUUUAAAUGGCUAAACUAUUUGUGCUGAUGUUGUGUCUGUGUUUGUCUUCAGCGUGCUGAGAGCAGAGCAAUCAUUUCCAUAGAGAGGAGGCUUUGCAUGGUCAGCUGAUCCUCCAGGGAACUGAGAAGGUUUAUAGUCCUGUGAGUUCAACACUGCAGGACUCAGACCUGUCAGUGGAGCCAGCAGAAACAACCAGCACCAUGACCCUCAUCACCAUCCUCAUCUGGACGCUGACCUGCUGCUGUUUUACAGGAUGCAGCGCUCAGGUGACUGUGACUCAGCCUCCACUGGUGACAUUUACACCAGGAUCCACUGCCACCAUCAAGUGUACCACAAAUCCUGCUGUUUACCGCUGGUCUGGUGGUGAGGAGGGUAUGUUCUGGUAUCAGCAGAAACCAGGACAGCCUCCAAAGAGCCUUAUAUAUUAUGUACAUAAACUUCAGUCAGGAACACCAGCUCGGUUUAGUGGCAGUGGAAGUGGGACUGACUUCACUUUGACCAUCAGUGGAGUUCAGGCUGAAGAUGCAGCAGUUUACUACUGUAAGAGUUACCAUAGCGGCGGCGUGUUCACACAGUGA